GGCAUCUUGUUAAAACGCAGACUUGGAUUCAGCAGGUCUGGGAUGAGGCCCAAGAUUCUGCAUUUUUAACAAGUUC
ensembl:miRNA eca-mir-544b eca-mir-544b